AUUGAACGCUGGCGGCAGGCCUAACACAUGCAAGUCGAGCGGAACGGGGGACGAGUGAGUAAUGCCUAGGAAGCUGCCUGGUCGUGGGGGAUCACGUCCGGAAACGGGCGCUAAUACCGCAUACUAUCAGAUGAGCCUAGGUCGGAUUAGCUAGUUGGUGGGGUAAAGGCCUAACAAGGCGACGAUCCGUAGCUGGUCUGAGAGGAUGAUCAGUCACACUGGAACUGAGACACGGCCCAGACUCCUACGGGAGGCAGCAGUGGGGAAUAUUGGACAAUGGGCGAAAGCCUGAUCCAGCCAUGCCGCGUGUGUGAAGAAGGUCUUCGGAUUGUAAAGCACUUUAAGUUGGGAGGCGUUACCUACAGAAUAAGCACCGGCUAACUCCGUGCCAGCAGCCGCGGUAAUAC
rnacentral:rRNA from 1 species